rnacentral:rRNA from 1 species
AUUGAACGCUGGCGGCAGGCCUAACACAUGCAAGUCGAGCGGAUGAGAAGAGCUUGCUCUUCGAUUCAGCGGCGGACGGGUGAGUAAUGCCUAGGAAUCUGCCUGGUAGUGGGGGACAACGUUUCGAAAGGAACGCUAAUACCGCAUACGUCCUACGGGAGAAAGCAGGGGACCUUCGGGGCUUGCGCUAUCAGAUGAGCCUAGGUCGGAUUAGCUAGUUGGUGAGGUAAUGGCUCACCAAGGCGACGAUCCGUAACUGGUCUGAGAGGAUGAUCAGUCACACUGGAACGGAGACACGGUCCAAACUCCUACGGGAGGCAGCAGUGGGGAAUAUUGGACAAUGGGCGAAAGCCUGAUCCAGCCAUGCCGCGUGUGUGAAGAAGGUCUUCGGAUUGUAAAGCACUUUAAGUUGGGAGGAAGGGCAGUAAGUUAAUACCUUGCUGUUUUGACGUUACCGACAGAAUAAGCACCGGCUAACUCUGUGCCAGCAGCCGCCGCGGUAA